rnacentral:rRNA from 1 species
GAUGAACGCUGGCGGCAUGCUUUACACAUGCAAGUCGGACGGGAAGUGGUGUUUCCCGUGGCGGACGGGUGAGUAACGCGUAAGAACCUGCCCUUGGGAGGGGAACAACAGCUGGAAACGGCUGCUAAUACCCCGUAGGCUGAGGAGCGAAAGGAGGAAUCCGCCCAAGGAGGGGCUCGCGUCUGAUUAGCUAGUUGGUGAGGUAAUAGCUUACCAAGGCCGUGAUCAGUAGCUGGUCCGAGAGGAUGAUCAGCCACACUGGGACUGAGACAAGGACCAGACUCCUACGGGAGGCAGCAGUGGGGAAUGUUCCGCAAUGGGCGAAAGCCUGACGGAGCAAUGCCGCGUGGAGGUAAAAGGCCUACGGGUCAUGAACUUCUUUUCCUGGAGAAGAAACAAUGACGGUAGCUGGGGAAUAAGCAUCGGCUAACUCUGUG